UGUCAUGUCAAAAGAAAACGCCCCAUUGG
rnacentral:piRNA from 1 species